rnacentral:rRNA from 1 species
UUGGUUAAGUUAGAAAGGGCGCACGGUGGAUGCCUUGGCACUAGGAGCCGAAGAAGGACGGGACUAACACCGAUAUGCUUUGGGGAGCUGUACGUAAGCGUUGAUCCAGAGAUUUCCGAAUGGGGGAACCCACUAUCUUUAGUCGGAUAGUAUCCUUACGUGAAUACAUAGCGUGAGGAAGGCAGACCCAGGGAACUGAAACAUCUAAGUACCUGGAGGAAGAGAAAGAAAAAUCGAUUUCCUGAGUAGCGGCGAGCGAAACGGAAAGAGCCCAAACCAAGAAGCUUGCUUCUUGGGGUUGUAGGACACUCUAUACGGAGUUACAAAAGAAAGUUAUAAAUGAAGCGGUCUGGAAAGGCCCGCCAAAGACGGUAACAGCCCGGUAGUUGAAAUGGCUUUCCCUCCAGAGUGGAUCCUGAGUACGGCGGAACACGUGAAAUUCCGUCGGAAUCCGGGAGGACCAUCUCCCAAGGCUAAAUACUCCCUAGUGACCGAUAGUGAACCAGUACCGUGAGGGAAAGGUGAAAAGCACCCCGGAAGGGGAGUGAAACAGUUCCUGAAACCGUGUGCCUACAAGUAGUUAGAGCCCGUUAAUGGGUGAUAGCGUGCCUUUUGUAGAAUGAACCGGCGAGUUACGAUUUGUUGCAAGGUUAAGCGGAAAAAGCGGAGCCGUAGCGAAAGCGAGUCUGAAUAGGGCGCAUAAGUAACAGGUCGUAGACCCGAAACCAGGUGAUCUACCCAUGUCCAGGAUGAAGGUAAGGUAAUACUUACUGGAGGUCCGAACCCACGCACGUUGAAAAGUGCGGGGAUGAGGUGUGGGUAGCGGAGAAAUUCCAAUCGAACUUGGAGAUAGCUGGUUCUCUCCGAAAUAGCUUUAGGGCUAGCCUCGAGGUAAAGAGUCAUGGAGGUAGAGCACUGUUUGGACUAGGGGCCCUUCUCGGGUUACCGAAUUCAGAUAAACUCCGAAUGCCAUGUACUUAUACUCGGGAGUCAGACUGCGAGUGAUAAGAUCCGUAGUCGAAAGGGAAACAGCCCAGACCACCAGUUAAGGUCCCCAAAUAUAUGUUAAGUGGAAAAGGAUGUGGGGUUGCUUAGACAACCAGGAUGUUGGCUUAGAAGCAGCCACCAUUGAAAGAGUGCGUAAUAGCUCACUGGUCGAGUGACCCCGCGCCGAAAAUGUACCGGGGCUAAACAUAUUACCGAAACUGUGGAUGAACCUCUUUAGAGGUUCGUGGUAGGAGAGCGUUCUAAGGGCGGUGA